GAUGAACGCUGGCGGCGUGCCUAAUACAUGCAAGUCGAGCGAACAGACGCGGCUCUUGCUCCUCUGACGUUAGCGGCGGACGGGUGAGUAACACGUGGAUAACCUCCCUAUAAGACUGGGAUCACUUCGGGAAACCGGAGCUAAUACCGGAUAAUAUCUUGAACCGCAUGGUUCAAUAGUGAAAGACGGUUUUGCUGUCACUUAUAGAUGGAUCCGCGCCGCAUUAGCUAGUUGGUAAGGUAACGGCUUACCAAGGCGACGAUGCGUAGCCGACCUGAGAGGGUGAUCGGCCACACUGGAACUGAGAAACGGUCCAGACGCCUACGGGAGGCAGCAGAAGGGAAUCUUCCGCAAUGGGCGAAAGACUGACGGAGAAACGCCGCGUGAGUGAUGAAGGUCUUCGGAUCGUAAAACGCUGUUAUUAGGGAAGAACAAAUGUGUAAGUAACUAUGCAGGUCUUGACGGUACCAAAUCAGAAAGACACGGCUAAAUACGUG
rnacentral:rRNA from 1 species